UCACGGGUCACGAGGAUCUCAGGAGCUCACCUGCGACAAACGCUGGUCUCGGCAUCUCUGCACUCCCACGAGGACAUCAACGCUCCUGCAUCGACAUGAAACUGCUCGCCGCCGUGCUGCUGCUGGGGGUCGUCCUGCUGGCCGUGGUCAGCGCCGUGCCCUUCCCCGACCCUUCACCCGUCGCCCUGCCCGACCCUGUGGCCUUCGCUGAUCCUGAACCCCAUUACGGUUACGGCUACGGCUUCCGUAGGACCUACAGGCCCGUCAUCAGACGCGGCUACGGCUAUGGCUACGGAUAUUACGGGUGAUUGCAUUCACCGACCACGGAAUUUUGCAAGCCAAGUUCGUACCUAUAGGAUUCUCUGUAUAUGCCUAUAUAUAUUCUGUAUACAAUUUUCACAUCUGCUGGAUCAGGCUAAUUUCAAGCUAAUAUAAUUAGGAUUGGCAGCUAACUUAAUUUCUUCAUUUUUUAACGUUGCUCCUUGUUCUCAAAUCAGUUCUUGAUCCCUUAAAUCUCAAUAUCACUUGUGCAUCAGAGUUGCGUAUUGCGCAAGCCAAAACAAACGAGGCAUCCUCUGUUGUAUCAGAAGCCGCUAAGCCUUUUCACUAAUUCAUAGAUGUAAAUAAAGAAUCCUUGUAAACAGUAAGGGAGCUAAUACAUGCAUCGGUAUAUUUAUGAAACAUUUUUACUAUAUACAUGUUAAAAUUAUUUAAUUAGCAUUUUGUGAAAUAAUAUCUAAUAGGCAUGCGCCAGAAUUAUUAUAUCUUUAACCAUCUGUAGAACCUCGCUGUCAUGCACUAGUAUUGUCUCGAAUAGCAAAUAACGAGUGCAAUACUCUCACUUUAUCUGCGCAUCAGCUUAUUAAAUGGAUCUUAGAACAUCAACAUAUUCAAUGGUUCAUAGUACACCAGCUUAUUAAAUGGUUCCUAGAACAUGAGCUAAUUCAAUGGUUCUUAGUACAUCUGCUUAAUAAACGGUUCUAAGUACACUAGCUUAUUCAGUGGUUCUUAGUGCAUCUGCUUAUAUUGAAUGCUAAGACACAUUUUCCAAUGUCGGGCAUUAAAAUCUUUCACGACGUUUACUAGGCGUAAGAACAUGAGGCGAGGCUUAAUUGACUGUAUAAAUUACUUGCAAUUUCCAAUAUUGCUUGGACUCGAUUUAAUUAUCUUAAAAAGUUAUUGGUUUUUGCAGCAUUAUUCAUGAAAACAAAUAAACGAUUAUUGUUAAACUUA
rnacentral:lncRNA from 1 species